CCUUCGAUAGCUCAGUUGGUAGAGCGGAGGACUGUAGAUCCUGUUAUCGCUGGUUCGAAUCCGGCUCGAAGGA
rnacentral:tRNA from 1 species